UUAGGUAUUAUCCCAGACUCGCAGCCGCCGAAAGCCUCAGAGCCUGGCAAACUCGGGUCGCGCAACGCCGCCGCGUGACAUCAGAGACCGGCUCUUCCUCCAGGCCCAGCUUUGUCUCAUUGUCCCACCCAUGACCGCGAAGGAAGCGUGCAAGCAAAGCGGCGCUCCGUGUUUUAGCCACAGUGUCGGCAGCACGGGGACCCAGGUAGUGCAAGCUUGCAGCCGCUGCGUCCGCCCGACUCGGUCGCUCCCUGGAGACCGCAUAGCUAGGGCGAAGGCGCUGGGGCUCUGCAGCCUGAGCCUGCGUAGACCCUGGGGCGACCCGUUUGCGAGAUCGCGGCAGUGACUUAAGGCACCCCCUGGCAGAAGCGCGUUUGAAUCGGUUCCCGGGCUGCUUCCCAGCCUCUGCCCAGUCUGUGCUGCGCGGCCCGCCGAGGCCGGGAGCCGCGGGGGCUGGAGCCGAGGGCACGCGUGCAGUCGGUGUCUCCGGAAAGCGCGCCCGAGAGCCGCGGGGCCUUCUCUUUUUCCUCUCAACAAGGCAGCGGAAGGCGCCAAGCGAUCCAGGCGGUUUCUCGGAGGGAUCUGAGAGGGAUAGCGGCAUCGACCGCUAUACGACCGUGUGCUUGUUUGACCCGCGUGGGAAGGGCUUGGGGAUCGCGCACUGAAGGUCUCGGAGCGCGCGGGCUACGCAGGGUUCCGCGCUUCUGUGUGUCAGGUACUGUGUCUAUCUUCCUGAAGACAAGAUGACAUUUUCAUUUCAGAUUUUGGCCUUAUAUAGUACUUGAGAAAACUAAAUAAGAAGGAAUGCAUGAAGUUUAAGGACUUUCUCAUACAGGAGAUUCUGGAAUUGAAGCUGAAACAGAUAUCUUAGACUGAAAUGAAGAAAGCAUCUCAGAAAGAUCUUGCCAACUUACUUCUGAAAUAUGGGGAGAAUCAAGCCUGGGAUAUGACCUUCAAAAUCCUCCAGAAGAUCAAUAGGAAAGAUCUCACUGAAAGGGCAACAGAAGAGAUUGCUGGAGAAGGUCCCCUCGAAACCCUCGAAUAACUGGACCUUCUGGACGGGUCAAGUGGCACCCAUCGUGGGGCACGAAGUACAACCACCCUCCGGACAAUGGAUUCAAGAGGUACCGCAUAGACAGUGAGACAGUUCCCCACCACUUAAAUCGAGCGUCGCGGAUGUCGAGAGCGCAUCUGUUUCAGUUCAUUACCAUCGGCUGGACAUUGGUGAUAACAAGCAGGUUACUGAAGAAGAGUCAGACGAGGAUACCGCUUCAUCACCCUCUUCUCAGGGAGAGAGACUCAAUUUCCAUAAAAUGCUUAAGUAAGAUCAUUUCCCUUUCCCUAAAUUCGGCCAUUAGUCUCAUGCCAUGAAUCAUUUAUAGAUUGCCAUAGUCUGUGCUUCCGACAUGGUAAUAUACAUUCUCACCACAGUGGAAACUAAACAGUCAUCCCAGGCUAGACACAUCAAAAAAUUGGAACUUGAAGCUGUCGCCCAUGAGAGUUGUAAGGAUAAGCACUGCACAGAGAUUAGUCUGGAAGCUGUUAGACAGUCUCUGAGAGACAUGUCUGAUUGCAUGAAGGUUGUGUGCCCUAGGGUCCUUCCCCCAGGAAAAACGGCAUGGGAGCAGGUCAGGGUUACUCUGGAUAAAAAUCUGUGGGCCUGAGAGUCAAUCCUGUACAUGGCCCCUAACAUUGCACACUGGGGAUCAGACCUCUACCUCUACCCAUGGAGCUUGCUUUGUUCCUAAAUCCCUUAGCUAGCCCAGGUUAUACCCAACAGAUUGGAACUGUUAAUUCAAGCCUCAUAGAUGACUUGUCCUUGUGUCUUUCAUGGUUUUAGAGAAACACUUGGUGAGCAAACAGACGUUUAGGUGGUCAUUAAAAACAUGGCUACAAAUUUAUUAUACAAUAUGCCUUUAUAAAAAUAUUAAAAAGGGAGCUAUUAAGACAACUCUAUUGUCUUGAUCUCUGAAUUGGGCCUCUCCCCCGAGAAGAAAACGGGGUCAAAAGCGGGCCAUCAACGCAGCGUUCCAAGAACAACCACAGAAUGUUCCAGCCCUAAGUCAGCGCCAGAUGUCCUGACCACAAGAUGUACCCUGAUACCACCAAAUUCCUGCUUCCCCGUGUAGUUGCCAAAAGAAAAAUUUCUGCUGCCCCAUCCCUCCUGCUGAGGAGUACUUCCUCUUUUGCUUGUGCAUUUCCGCUGCCCCAUUCCUCCUGCUGAGAAGUACUUCCCCUUUUGCUUGUGCAUUUAAGCCUUGAGCCUUGCUGAAUACAGAGAGACCUUGAUGCUACUCAGACCGCUUCUGUGUCGUUCCUUGCACUUGGUUUCCGUCUCUCCCUC
rnacentral:lncRNA from 1 species